AUUGAACGCUGGCGGCAGGCCUAACACAUGCAAGUCGAGCGAGCGGCGGACGGGUGAGUAAUGUCUGGGAAACUGCCUGAUGGAGGGGGAUAACUACUGGAAACGGUAGCUAAUACCGCAUACCAUCAGAUGUGCCCAGAUGGGAUUAGCUAGUAGGUGAGGUAACGGCUCACCUAGGCGACGAUCCCUAGCUUGUCUGAGAGGAUGCACAGCCACACUUGAACUGAGACACGGUCCAGACUCCUACGGUGGGCAGCAGUGGGGAAUAUUGCAGAAGGGGCGCAAGCCUGAUGCAGCCAUGCCGAGUGUGUGAAGAAGGCCUUCGGGGUGUAAAGCACUUUCAGCGGGGAGGCGUUACCCGCAGAAGAAGCCCCGGCUAACUCCGUUCCAGCAGCCGCGGUAAUUC
rnacentral:rRNA from 1 species